rnacentral:rRNA from 1 species
AUUGAACGCUGGCGGGAUGCUUUACACAUGCAAGUCGAACGGCAGCACGGACUUCGGUCUGGUGGCGAGUGGCGAACGGGUGAGUAAUGUAUCGGAACGUGCCUAGUAGCGGGGAUAACUACGCGAAAGCGUAGCUAAUACCGCAUACGCCCUUCGGGGAAAGCGGGGGACCUUCGGGCCUCGCACUAUUAGAGCGGCCGAUAUCGGAUUAGCUAGUUGGUGGGGUAACGGCUCACCAAGGCGACGAUCCGUAGCUGGUUUGAAGGACGACCAGCCACACUGGGACUGAGACACGGCCCAGACUCCUACGGGAGGCAGCAGUGGGGAAUUUUGGACAAUGGGGGAAACCUGAUCCAGCCAUCCCGCGUGUGCGAUGAAGGCCUUCGGGUUGUAAAGCACAGCGGGAAAGAAACGGCACGGGAUAAUACCCCGUGCAACUGACAGAAACACCUGCAGAAUAAGCACCGGCUAACUACGUGCCAGCAGCCGCGGUAAUACGUAGGGUGCAAGCGUUAAUCGGAAUUACUGGGCGUAAAGCGUGCGCAGGCGGUUCGGAAGAAGAUGUGAAAUCCCAGAGCAACUUUGGAACUGCAUUUUUAACUACCGAGCUAGAGUGUGUCAGAGGGAGGUGGAAUUCCGCGUGUAGCAGUGAAAUGCGUAGAUAUGCGGAGGAACACCGAUGGCGAAGGCCCAGCCUCCUGGGAUAACACUGACGCUCAUGCACGAAGGCGUGGGGAGCAAACAGAGUUAGAUACCCUGGUAGUCCACGCCCUAAACGAUGUCAACUAGCUGUUGGGGCCUUCGGGCCUUGGUAGCGCAACGCGUGAAGUUGACCGCCUGGGAGUACGGUCGCAAGAUUAAAACUCAAAGAAAUUGACGGGGACCCGCACAAGCGGUGGAUGAUGUGGAUUAAUUCGAUGCAACGCGAAAAACCUUACCUACCCUUGACAUGUCUGGAAUCCCGAAGAGAUUUGGAGUGCUCGCAAGAGAACCGGAACACAGGUGCUGCAUGGCUGUCGUCAGCUCGUGUCGUGAGAUGUUGGGUUAAGUCCCGCAACGAGCGCAACCCUUGUCAUUAGUUGCUACGAAGGGCACUCUAAUGAGACUGCCGGUGACAAACCGGAGGAAGGUGAGGAUGACGUCGAGUCCCUGUGACCAUAUGGUCCAGGGCUUCACACGUCAUACAAUGGUCGGGACAGAGGGUCGCCAACCCGCGAGGGAAGACCAAUCCAGAAACCCGAUCGUAGUCCGGAUCGCAGUCUGCAACUCGACUGCGUGAAGUCGGAAUCGCUAAUCGCGGAUCAGCAUGUCGCGGUGAGCCACGUUCCCGGGUCUUGUACACACCGCCCGUCACACCAUGGGAGUGGGUUUUACCAGAAGUAGUUAGCCUAACCGUAAGGAGGGCGAUUACCACGGUAGGAUUCAUGACUGGGGUGAAGUCGUAACAAGGUAG